UGCAAAAUUGUCGUCCCGCAGCUAC
rnacentral:piRNA from 1 species